CCUACGGGCGGCAGCAGUGAGGAAUAUUGGUCAAUGGGCGGGAGCCUGAACCAGCCAAGUCGCGUGAGGGAAGACGGUCCUAUGGAUUGUAAACCUCUUUAGGCGGGGAGCAAUGCCGGGCACGCGUGCCCGGAGGGAGAGUACCCGCAGAAUAAGCAUCGGCUAACUCCGUGCCAGCCGCCGCGGUAAUACGGAGGAGGCGAGCGUUAUCCGGAUUUAUUGGGGUUAAAGGGUGCGUAGGCGGAUUUUUAAGUCAGCGGUAAAAUGUCGGGGCUCAACCCGGGCCGGCCGUUGAGACUGGGGAUCUUGAGUGGGCGAGAAGUAUGCGGAAUGCGUGGUGUAGCGGUGAAAUGCAUAGAUAUCACGCAGAACUCCGAUUGCGAAGGCAGCAUACCGGCGCCCGACUGACGCUGAGGCACGAAAGCGUGGGGAUCGAACAGGAUUAGAUACCCCUGUAGUC
rnacentral:rRNA from 1 species